AUGGGAAAUCCUCCGUCACCACACAGCUGCUUCAGCGUAAUUCUGCUUUACAUGACCGUAACCUGCUCGGAAAUGAAUGAAAACCACUGCCUGUUAGGGAUGGCAGGAAGAAGCAAGGAAAUGAGGGCACCGCGUCACAACCAAGACCUUCCUAACAGAAUUGGUGCUGGAAAUCAAUUUGGCCGGGCCACAAGGUACAACAGCCGUAUUGAAUUGUCCACCAAGCUGCUUGAACCAACCAAGACCUUCCUAACCAAAUUAAUGCGUAACAAAGGAAGCUGCUUCUUAACUCUCUAG
rnacentral:rRNA from 1 species